rfam:Hordeum vulgare subsp. vulgare, WGS project CAJW01000000 data, contig: morex_contig_1589043
AAAAUACUCCCUCCAUCCUAAAAUUCUUGUUUUAUACAGUAUUUAUCUACAUAUGAAUGUAUCUAGUCACAUUUUAAUAUUUAGAUACAUUCAUUUUUAAACAAACUUAAGACAAGAAUUUUGGGACGAAGGGAGUAUGUU